rnacentral:lncRNA from 1 species
CAAUACGACAAGACAAUUUGAUAUCAUAAUAGAACACUGCAGAAACAAUGCUGAGUGAAGAAGAGUAGAAAUGGGAAGACUUGGUUGAGCGGAAACUGAGUUCUUGAAAAGAGGAGAUGCUUGAUGAGGGCAUGGAUCCCUGAGGUCUGCCCCAGUACUAUAAGACAAUUUGAUGUAAGAAAACACAGCAGAUAUAAUACUGAGUGAAGAAGAGUAUAAAUGAGAAGAUUGGUUGUGCAGAUACUGAGUUCAUGAAAAG